rnacentral:rRNA from 1 species
CAACUUUCAGCAACGGAUCUCUUGGCUCUCGCAUUGAUGAAGAACGCAGCGAAAUGCGAUAAGUAAUGUGAAUUGCAGAAUUCAGUGAAUCAUCGAAUCUUUGAACGCACCUUGCGCUCCUUGGUAUUCCGAGGAGCAUGCCUGUUUGAGUGUCGUUA